AGUCUGGUGCCAGCCGCCGCGGUAAUUCCAGCUCCACUAGCGUAUAUUAAAGUUGUUGCGGUUGAAACGCUCGUAGUUUGACUUCUGCUCCGGACCGGCGGUCCGCCUUAGCGGCGGCUACUGCCGGGUUCCGAGCUGUGUCCCCGCCGGCGCACAUGGGGUUUUUAUGCCCUUAACCGGGUGUCCCCUUGUGGCCGGCACGUUUACUUUGAAAAAAUUAGAGUGCUCAUGAGCAGUGUCCUCCUUGUGGCCGGCACGUUUACUUUGAAAAAAUUAGAGUGCUCAGAGCAGGCUGGUUUUUGCUUACAGCCCGAAUGGUCGUGCAUGGAAUGAUGGAACAGGACCUCGGUUCUAUUUUGUCGGUUUUUCGGAACCCGAGGUAAUGAUUAAUAGAAGCAGACGGGGGCAUUCGUACUGCGACGCUAGAGGUGAAAUUCUUAGACCGUCGCAUGACGACCUACUGCGAAAGCAUCUGCCAAGGAUGUUUUCAUUGAUCAAGAACGAAAGUUAGAGGUUCGAAGGCGAUCAGAUACCGCCCUAGUUCUAACCUUAAACGAUGCUGACUAGCGAUCCGCCGCAGUUAUUCCCAUGACCCGGCGGGUAGCUUCCGGGAAACCAAAGUCUUUGAGUUCCGGGGGAAGUAUGGUUGCAAAGCUGAAACUUAAAGGAAUUGACGGAAGGGCACCACCAGGAGUGGAGCCUGCGGCUCAAUUUGACUCAACACGGGGAAACUCACCAGGCCAGGACACCGGAAGGAUUGACAGAAUGAAGGCUCUUUCUCGAUUCGGUGGGUGGUGGUGCAUGGCCGUUCUUAGUUGGUGGAGUGAUCUGUCUGGUUAAUUCCGAUAACGAACGAGACUCUAGCCUGCUAAAUAGUCGACGGAUCUCAACCCCGUUGCCCCCGUUGUCGUUCGCGGCGAUGCGGGGCGCGGGUUCCCCGAAACCCGGUCGUCGUGCGGGCCUCCACCGUCGGUCGGUUAGCGCCGCCGGCGGCGCGCCCCGCGGCGCCGGAAACUGGCGUCCGCUUCGCAGUCUUCUUCUUAGAGGGAUAAGCGGCAGCAAAAAAUAUACUAGCCGCACGAGAGUUUGAGCCAUAACAGGUCUGUGAUGCCCUUAGAUGUUCUGGGCCGCACGCGCGCUACAAUGGAGAGUUCAGCGAGCUGGCCCUGCUCCGAGAGGAGCGGGUAACCCUAGAUGUUCUGGGCCGCACGCGCGCUACAAUGGAGAGUUCAGCGAGCUGGCCCUGCUCCGAGAGGAGCGGGUAACCUCGUGAAAGCUGUCCUUAAAGGGGAUUGGGGCUUGCAAAUGUUCCCCAUGAACGAGGAAUUCCCAGUAGGCGCAAUUCACCAGAUUGCGCCGAUUUAGUCCCUGCCCUUUGUACACACCGCCCGUCGCUACUACCGAUUGAAUGGUCUAGUGAGGGCACCGGACUGGCGCCCUUGGAGCCGCUACCGCCUCGGCGGGCAGCGCCCUCGGGUCGACGGAAAGGUGUCCAAGCUGGGUCAUUUAGAGGAAGUAAAAGUCGUAACAAGGUUUCCGUAGGUGAACCUGCGGAAG
rnacentral:rRNA from 1 species